UACGUAGGGUGCAGGCGUUAAUCGGAAUUACUGGGCGUAAAGGGCGCGUAGGCGGACAGUUUAGUCAGAGGUGAAAGCCCAGGGCUCAACCUUGGAAUUGCCUUUGAUACUGGCUGUCUUGAGUUCGGGAGAGGUGAGUGGAAUGCCGAGUGUAGAGGUGAAAUUCGUAGAUAUUCGGCGGAACACCAGUGGCGAAGGCGACUCACUGGCCCGAUACUGACGCUGACGGC
rnacentral:rRNA from 1 species